rnacentral:lncRNA from 1 species
AUGUUAUCCAAAUUAGUAAACACAGAUGAGACUGGUAAGAAUUUCAUUUACUUUUUCUUUAUUCAAAAAUUUUGUUUUCUGUUGGUUAAACCUAUUUGAAAGUCACUCUUGUAAAUAAUAAUAUUUGUAAUCCAAGAUCUUUACUUUAUAAAAUCAUCUUUUGGCAAGGUGUCAGGUUGACAUUUUGGAAGUAUCUGAGGGCUUGUUAGCUAAACCAGCUGAACUAGCAUUACAUUCUUAAGUGUUGGAGCAUCCCACAUUCUAACCAGCGAGUCAACCCUUCAAGUAUAUUUAUGUUUCUAGUCCCCUAUUACAUUUGGUGUAACAUUACCUCCUUUUUUGGUGUAGUGGAAUUUUGUUCUUAGAAUAACGUAUCAUUUCUUACAGUUAAUACAUGUUCUACUUUCUCUCCAACAAAUCCCUACAUUUGAUAACAAAAUAAUCAGUAUCAUCUGUUCUCAUAAAACAACAUUAACACGGAAAGUUGUUCGCUUUCAUGGCUUCUCUACAGAAUAUAUCUUUUCUAAGUGGAACCCUCUUCAAUACUAUUUAUCUUUAUACUCCACAUUAUUUUUGUUUUGAAUUAGUGGCUGGGUUUCAAGCUUUAGCCUUAGGUAUCUUGAUUUUCCUUCAUAUAAAUUUGAAAAGAAGGAAUAUAAGUUAUACAGAAAUGGAUCCUGAAAUGAUAUCAACCCAAGCUUCAGAAAUAUGGUGAUAUCUUAGAAAAGUAAUUAAGUCAACAGCCUGUCCCGUUUCAGAACUGCCUUUAAAAUACAGUAUAGAGAUGUUUUAAUAAUAAAAGUGAUAAUUUUUGAUCAUAAACAUUUGAGUCAUUUUGUUGUCAGUUCAUUAGCAACUAAAAAUGCUGUCUAGUAGGGGUGAUCAAACUUAGUGCUGCUGAGUUCUAUGAAAUGAUCUAUCAACAGUCAUCAUUCAACCAGUUCAUCUGAACCCAUUAUUAACUUAUAUAACAAUCGAAAAUUUCUUUAUGCACGUGAAAUGAUCAGUGGUAGCAAUUAUUAUACUGUAUUGUAUUAGCGGAAUACAAAAAUAACAAGUUAUGUUAUAAUAUCAAAUCUCAAUAAAAUAAAAAUCUCCAAUUCUCUGUCU